rnacentral:rRNA from 1 species
UACGAAGGGGACUAGCGUUGUUCGGAAUUACUGGGCGUAAAGCGCACGUAGGCGGAUUUGUUAGUCAGGGGUGAAAUCCCGGGGCUUAACCUCGGAACUGCUCUUGAGACUGCAUGUCUGGAAUUCGGUAGAGGCUAGUGGAACUCCCAGUGUAGAGGUGAAAUUCGCAGAUAUUGGGAAGAACACCGGUGGCGAAGGCGACUAGCUGGGCCGAUAUUGACGCUGAGGCACGAAAGCGUGGGUAGCAAACAGG